CUCUUUUCAAUUGUGCCUAAAUAUGUGUUUACCUUGACAUAGUUUGCUGUUUGCAUCUCAUCUCAGAGGCACAAUUUAUGAGGUAUGAUCAACACUGAAAAGUUUUCCUGAGCAAUGAGAAAUGCAAUUUUGGUAUACAAACUAUAAGUCUAUCAUUCCCCAGAAGAGAAAUAUUUGCCCUAUAUGUGUUUGAGAAAUGUUGAGACCUCUUACUUAUUCAUGGUGUUAAACAAAACAUAUACAGAUCUGCAGGUUGGUUGUGGUUUUGCCUUUGUGGUUGGGAAGCUGAAUGGAGACAGGAAUCCCACUGAGACAACGUGUUACACAAAUGUGCCCAGCAGAGCCAAACUCCUUCUUUACUGGCCACAUGGACAAGAUUUCAGGCAUAUGAAACUCUGUCAGAAGGAUACCUCCCACAGCAUCCAGUUCUGAUGGGGAUUUCACCAUCAAUCUCCUUCAAGCAUAUCAAGAAUGGCUACUGGGUCUUCUGAAGAUGAUCUCCAGAACAUUUUUGCAUAAGUACAGAUACAAAUAACUAUGAACGAUGAGUCAAAUGUCAGGUGUGAUGCUUGGAGCUACAACACUGCAUUAAUCUUCAACUUGGAAAUUUUUUUCCCUUUCUUCCUUCAAAUCUGUUUCGUCUGAAGGGUUAUCCCCCUCAGCUGCUCAAGUGCGAGAUCUGUUACCCAGUUUCAACUUCUCCGUAAUCCCUCUAUUUAAAGGUGAGAUAAUCAGCUUUUGUUGGGUUGACUUGGAUCUAAGACAAUCUCCAGCCUAAAGACAAAGAAGAGCCCACAUGAAGAGAAUGCAGAGUCUCUGCUUGCCUGCAGAGAGAGGAGGUGGCCUUUUAUGCUCUUUCCAACACCGAAAAUUCUCAUGCCCUGCAAAUCCCAGCAGUAUAACUUAGAGCAUUACCCACAGACAAAUGGUCCCGUUAGGAAGUGAAUAUUAUUUGUAUAGCAGGCUCAAGAACGUGCCAGAAUAUUUGGCAUGGGUGAUCAUCCCAAGAGGAAAAGAAUAAACUCUUUGUUCUUCAAGUGAUGGCACACAGUGCUGCUUGGGAAGCUACCUCCCAGUUUCUGUUGAUUGUCACUUUCCUUUGACAAUUGUAUAUAUUGUGGAAGAGAGACAGACCAACCUUCUUUACUUUUUUUUCCUUCUUUCCUUCUGUCUCUCCACAGUUCCCCCCACAUGCUUCUUCCUCCUGAAUUUAAAGCUAUGAAAAAUCACUGGACAGAAAAGUGGUGAGAACAAAGUGGUUCAUACGCACAGAGGUUGUGCAGCCAUCCAGGCUACCUCACCAGCAUGCAUCAAAGUGUCUGAAGAGAGGCUCAGCAUUUCCCUGGGAAAAUGUAUUCCUAUAUCAUUUCUGUUUCGAUCUCCUGUCAGAAGAGGCCCACAGAAUUGUACAACAGAUUCAAAGUUUGGGCUUCUCCCCACUACAGAAAUCCCUCAGGAGCUACAUUUCAGCCUGACAUUCUGGGCCACAGGAAGGAAAAGAAAUACAGGAUAUUGGAAAAAAUCCCCACAAGGUGACGAGUGUCUUCAGAGACUGACUAAAUGAACAGUUUUGUUAUCUACAAACAUGUUUCACUCUGCAGUUCUAUUUCGUGCUUUUGAUAUUUCAGGGUUUGAGGUAUAUCUGGGAGUAAACAAACACUGCUGCAUCAGAAUUUCAGCAAGAAAGCAAUUCCCAUUUUAGGACUAGGUUAGGGAAAGGGCCUAAAGGAAGAAUGUUUAUGCGCAGUGUAUUUCUCUAGGAAACUGAUGGCAUAAAUGCUUAGGGAACAAAUAACUUUAUUCAAGCCCCUGGGAUAGGGUUCCAGAUUCUGGCUGGGUCCAGUAGAAGUUGUCAUACAAUAAAUACCCUUGCUCUUCACAACAUAAAAUAGGUCCAUAACUCUGCAGCUGUGAGAGGCUAAGGGAAAAUGUAUCUGGAAUUGCCAGAGAACUGAUAAGUGUUGCUAAACACAUGCUAAUGAACUCACUGAACAAGGCAACAUGGGUCAGAUCUGAUCCUGUGUGCAAGCCUCUAGAGGCUCACCUGUAAGUGGGCAGUAUCAGGAAGAAAUUCAAUAGACUCUCUGAAAAAGACAGGCAGAAGAACAGUCCAAUAUUUCCUCACCCCGGCGUAGGGACCUGCUGCGGAUCAGAUGUGGGAGCAUGGAGAUGGUUGGGAGGCACACAAGAAGGGAUUGCUUCCAAGGGGUGGGUCAGAGGGAUGUGCCACACCCUCUUUCAUUGCAGUCUUAUGAUUUCACUAUUACAGAUUCAAACUUGGCACAUGCAAAAGUUGAAGUUCCCAUGGCAACAGUUACUUCUACCACAAUUCCUGCCUGGUGUACUUAUCAUACGCAUUUAGCGUCAAACAGGAAUACAUUACAUGACACAUUUAACAACGUAAAAUAGAAAAGAAAAUGC